AACGAACGCUGGCGGCAUGCCUAACACAUGCAAGUCGAACGAGACCUUCGGGUCUAGUGGCGCACGGGUGCGUAACGCGUGGUAACCUGCCCUUAGGUUCGGAAUAACUCCCCGAAAGGGGUGCUAAUACCGGAUAAUGUCUUCGGACCAAAGAUUUAUCGCCUUUGGAUGGGCCCGCGUUGGAUUAGCUAGUUGGUAGGGUAAAAGCCUACCAAGGCGACGAUCCAUAGCUGGUCUGAGAGGAUGAUCAGCCACACUGGGACUGAGACACGGCCCAGACUCCUACGGGAGGCAGCAGUGGGGAAUAUUGGACAAUGGGCGAAAGCCUGAUCCAGCAAUGCCGCGUGAGUGAUGAAGGCCUUAGGGUUGUAAAGCUCUUUUACCCGGGAUGAUAAUGACAGUACCGGGAGAAUAAGCUCCGGCUAACUCCGUG
rnacentral:rRNA from 1 species